CCCUACGGGACGCAGCAGUGGGGAAUAUUGCACAAUGGGGGAAACCCUGAUGCAGCGACGCCGCGUGAGUGAAGAAGUAAUUCGUUACGUAAAGCUCUAUCAGCAGGGAAGAAACACUGACCUUACGGUCAGCAGACGGUACCUGAGUAAGAAGCCCCGGCUAACUACGCGCCAGCAGCCGCGGUAAUACGUAGGGGGCGAGCGUUAUCCGGAUUCACUGGGUGUAAAGGGAGCGUAGACGGCCAUGCAAGCCAGGGGUGAAAGCCCGGGGCCCAACCCCGGGACUGCCCUUGGAACUGCAUGGC
rnacentral:rRNA from 1 species